CCCUUAGAUGUUCUGGGCCGCACGCGCGCUACACUGAUGCAUUCAACAAGUUCUACCUUGGCCGAGAGGCCUGGGAAAUCUUUCAAAUAUGUAUCGUGAUAGGGAUAGAUUAUUGCAAUUAUUAAUCUUGAACGAGGAAUUCCUAGUAAAUGCAGAUCAUCAUUCUGCGUUGAUUAUGUCCCUGCCCUUUGUACACACCGCCCGUCGCACCUACCGAUUGAAUGAUCCGGUGAAGCCUCGGGAUUGUGCCCAGAGAACUUUAUUGUGAUUUGGGUGUGAGAACUUGUCUAAACCUUAUCAUUUAGAGGAAGGUGAAGUCGUAACA
rnacentral:rRNA from 1 species